rnacentral:lncRNA from 10 species
GGCUGAGAACAGCAUUAGCCCAGAGCUGCAGCAACAGAUCUGUGACCUCCUCUCUGAGGGAGAGGAGGAGGAGGAAGUGGCAGGAGGGGCUGGCGACACCCAGGAAUGGGAGAGAGGGCGGGAGCCUGCUGCCCACCAGAGAGGCAGCAGCUCCUGGAUGUGCCCCAGCGAUCCCAGCUCUCAGAUGGUGCUAAUGACGUCAGGACUAGGGGACAGUCUGUUGGCUGAGACCGAGAUGUGACUCUCCACUGGGCCUCUGCACACCAUUUCACUUAUCUAUGUCCCGAGCACCUUGCCCCAGAUAUCAGGGUCAGGCCCUGGGACUUGGGAGGGAACUGGGGUCAGGGGCUGCAUGGGGGCUCUGGCAGCUCCUGGCAGUGUGGUGGGAAGGAAGCUCUGGAAGCUGUGACUGAGCAACAGCCUUGGGGGGCACUUGAACCCACGGCAAUGCCUUUGAACUUGGCAGCUCUGGCUGCAACCCGCUGGCUCGGAAAAGAUUUUAUGAACUCC